rnacentral:rRNA from 1 species
AUGGACGCCUACGAGGCCACCAAGGUUGUGUUCGCGCGGGUGCAGGCGCUGCACCCGGACCUCGCCUCCAAGAUCAUGGGCAUGCUCCUCAUCCAGGACAAGAGCGAGGAGGACAUGAUCCGCCUCGCCUUCGGCCCCGAGCACCUGCUCCACGCCGUCGUCGCCAGGGCACGCGCCGACCUCGCCGCCGCCCACCACAGCAAGCCCUCCUCUCCGCCCACCGCGUCCUGGGGCGCAGGGAUGUCAGCGGAGGACGCGCCUUUCCCCGGCGUCGAUCAGGCGAGGUACGAAGGCGGCGGGGAAGGGUUUUACCCGCCGGAGGAGUUCGGGUGCUGGUCCCCGGCGAGCGGCGGACAGCACCGCCGGAGCUUCUCGCUGAGCGACGCCGAGGCGGCGGCCGGCGGGUGGAGGCCGUGCAUGUACUACGCGCGCGGGUUCUGCAAGAACGGCUCCUCCUGCCGGUUUGUCCACGUCCUGCCUGACCACGUCACCGAGCAGGACACGGAAGUCUGGACGGCGGCCAUGCGGUCGGAGCUCAUGUCGCCCGCCUUCCCCUUCUCGCCGUCGCCCAGAGGCCUCAACUUCCUGCUCCAGCAGCAGCAGCAGCAGAGCGACUCCCAGAGGGCGGCGGCGGCGGCCAUGCUUCUCGGCGGUGGAGGCGGCGACGACAUGCACAAGUUCUCCGUGCGGUCGCCUCGGAUGGACCGCGGCGGCGACCUCGCCUCCAGCCCCGCCGCGCGGCAGAUCUACCUGACAUUCCCGGCCGACUCCACCUUCAGCGAGGAGGACGUGUCCUCCUACUUCAGUUACUACGGGCCGGUGCAGGACGUGCGCAUCCCGUACCAGCAGAAGCGCAUGUUCGGCUUCGUCACGUUCGUGUACGCGGAGACGGUGAGGCUCAUCCUCGCCAAGGGGAACCCGCAUUUCGUCUGCGACGCGCGCGUCCUCGUCAAGCCCUACAAGGAAAAGGGCAAGGUCCCCGACAGGUUCAGGAAGUUCCAGGCUCCGCACCAUGGCGACUUCGCCGGAUGCACGACGCCCACCGGGCUGCUCGAUUCCAGGGACCCCUUCGACCUUCAGUCGCCGCAGAUCGGGCCGAGGAUGAUGUUCGGCAACAUUGGCAGCCACGAGGCGUUCCUGCGGAGGAAGCUGGAGGAGCAGCAGCAGGCGGCGGAGCUGCAGCAGGCCAUCGACCUGCAGAGCCGCCGCUUCAUGGGGCUGCAGAUUCUCGACCUCAAGAGGGGCCACCACCAUCUCGGCUCCACUGUCGCCCCGCCGUUGGCUCUCCGGCAGACCGAUGGCAUCGGCAACGGCAAUGCCAUUCAUCUGGAGGAUGCUGCAAUCCAAGCAGAUCACAAGAUGAGCAGUGCCAUGAUGAUGACAUCUGCUCCUGCUGCUAUUUGUGCCACCAUUGCCACAGAAGGCAAGCAGGAGGAGGAGGGCGACGGGAGUGCCAACCAAGGGGUCAACUCCGGGGAAGAUGAGAAGAGGGAACCUGGUCCUCCUGGAGCAGCAGCGGCCAGUGCUAAUGGAUUCCAAGAAAGCGGCGUGGAGGAGCACAACCUGCCUGAUAGCCCCUUUGCAUCUCCCACAAAGACAAAGGAGGCUGCUGCUUCUUCUUCCUCUGCAGAACCAGCCCUCGCUGGCAGCAUCAUGAACAACAACGGCAGCCCUCAUCUGGUGGCCUCGUCUCUGUUUACACCAACUGCCCUUGAGCUGCCCCCUUACAAAUCCUGCUUCUUCCAAGUGCCCAGGUUCUCUCCUGGCCAUGGUGCCAUCGGGCUGUGA